rnacentral:sRNA from 1 species
AAAAAUCGUGCUUUUUAGUUUUAGGGCCUUUUGCUAGUGCUAUUUCCAUACUUAACUUUUCGGUCACCGACUUCUCCAAUUUUUGUUCAAUAGACUAGAGAGAUACUAGAAGCCCCCUUGGCCCAAUGGUUGACCCAGGGUUCAUUAAUGCUUCUACACCAAGAGGUAUAGGGUUCGAGUCCCAGCUAAUUCAAUUUAUUAGCAGAUUUGUAGAUUAAUGGAGGCAAGUGUGCAGAAGAUCUACAAUGAUGUACAAUUAUGGCCGUUCGCCAGGAUUCUACGCAGAGAAGAUAUUGAAAGUUUCCAUCAAGCGCGUAGAAAAUAAGAAGGAAGUGUCGUCUGUCGUGGAUCUAAUAAGGGUUGAAAGGAAUUGUCCGUGAUAAAAUCGUUUAUAUAACAGUUCUCAUAAUUUGUAAUAAAUAAUAAAUCUAAGAUGGUAAAAAGAAAAAGACUAGAGAGAUAAAGGAGAAUGGAAAACAACAGAAAU